GCGCCGGAAGUGUAAGGCGUAUCAUCGCUGCCCGGAAAGCAGAAGGUGCGGGUUCAAGUCCCGCCUGGCGCA
rnacentral:tRNA from 1 species